rfam:Felis catus isolate Cinnamon breed Abyssinian chromosome D1, whole genome shotgun sequence.
GCCUGGGUAGCUCAGUCAGUUGAGCAUCUGACUUCGGCUCAAGUCAUGAUCUCACAGUUCGUGGGUUCGAGCCCCGCAUCGGGCU